rnacentral:rRNA from 1 species
CCUACCUCGGAUUAGACGUGAGUACCCGCUGAACUUAAGCAUAUCACUAAGCGGAGGAAAAG